GCGGUUGUAACUCAGAUGGUAGAGUGCUGUCCUUCCAAGUCAGAUGUCGCGAGUUCGAAUCUCGUCAACCGCU
rnacentral:tRNA from 1 species